CUACACACCACAGCAACUCACAGGUCGGGCAACCAGCUGGACCUCAUUUUUACACACCAGCACGGACUACACCACCCAGCCCCUGGCUGUCUGACAUCCUUCGUGAACAUCGGACUGUUCUCAGGGCAGCUGAGAGGAGAUGGCGGAAAUCUAAAGAUCCAGCUGAUCUAGCCCAACGACACCACAGUGACCGUUCGAAUCGCUGCCUGUCUGGCAGACAUCUCGGCCUGGAUGAAGGAACACCACCUUCAACUCAACCCUGCCAAGACAGAACUCCUUGUCUUUCCAGCCAACCCUGCUGUUGAACACAACAUCACCGUGCAGCUGGGUCCAACUACAGUUUCGCCUUCCAAAACGGUCAGAAAUCUAGGGGUAACCAUUGAUGAUGAGCUAAAUUUCACAGACCACAUU